CGGGGUGUAGCGCAGUCCGGUUAGCGCGCCUGCUUUGGGAGCAGGGGGUCGCCGGUUCGAAUCCGGCCACCCCGACCA
rnacentral:tRNA from 3 species